AUGAGCCUGCUGGGUCUCCUCCUGUGCCUGGUGACAGCCCCCCAAGGUGUCCUGUCCCAGGUGCAGCUGCAGGAGUCGGGCCCAGGACUGGUGAAGCCCUCGCAGACCCUCUCCCUCACCUGCACUGUCUCCGGGGGCUCGGUCACCAGCAGUUACUACUGGCACUGGAUCCGCCAGAGCCCUGGGAAAGGGUUGCAGUGGAUGGGGUACUGGACAGGAAGCACCAGCUAUAACCCAGCCUUCCAGGGCCGCAUCUCCAUCACUGCUGACACGUCCAGGAACCAGUUCUCUUUAGAGCUGAGAUCUGUGACCACCGAGGACACGGCCGUGUAUUACUGUGCGAGACACACCUCUGGAUUCACCUUCAGUAGCUAUGCCAUGCACUGGGUCUGCCAGGCUCCAGGGAAGGGGCUGGAGUGGGUUUCAGCUAUUAGUGGUAAUGGUGGUAGCACAUUCUAUGCAGACGCUGUGAAGGGCCGAUUCACCAUCUCCAGAGACAACGCCAAGAACACGCUGUAUCUGCAAAUGAACAGCCUGAAAUCUGAGCACUCGGCCGUGUGUUUCUGUGGGAGACACAAUCAGAAGUGGUCAAU